AGCGAACGCUGGCGGCAGGCUUAACACAUGCAAGUCGAACGGGCAUAGCAAUAUGUCAGUGGCAGACGGGUGAGUAACUCGUGGGAACGUACCUUUUGGUUCGGAACAACACAGGGAAACUUGUGCUAAUACCGGAUAAGCCCUUACGGGGAAAGAUUUAUCGCCGAAAGAUCGGCCCGCGUCUGAUUAGCUAGUUGGUAGGGUAAUGGCCUACCAAGGCGACGAUCAGUAGCUGGUCUGAGAGGAUGAUCAGCCACAUUGGGACUGAGACACGGCCCAAACUCCUACGGGAGGCAGCAGUGGGGAAUAUUGGACAAUGGGCGAAAGCCUGAUCCAGCCAUGCCGCGUGAGUGAUGAAGGCCCUAGGGUUGUAAAGCUCUUUUGUGCGGGAAGAUAAUGACGGUACCGCAAGAAUAAGCCCCGGCUAACUUCGUG
rnacentral:rRNA from 1 species